UUCUCCUCAAUAUCUGCUUCCACCACUUCUGGCUACCAUGUUGAGGCAAAAUGAAGUUCCUGGCCCCAGAUCAUCAACAUUAAGUAUUGGAAUACCUACUUCCUGGGUGACAAUAUAAGAAGGCAAAACAUAUAUUUAUGAGUUCCACAUGAAGUUAAAAUUCAAAGGUGAGUAAAACUGCUUGGGCAUCAACACGAAUCAAGCGAGUAGCACCAAACUGCACCAGGAGUCACUGUGUUCUCCCCUGCCGCACAUUCACAGUAAACAGCUGCCAGAUUCAUUUGAGAACAUCCUUGAUGAAGCUGUAAGAAUUAUUAACUUUAUUAAAUCUGGACCCUUGAACAUGUAUCUUUAAAUAUCCUUUGUGAUGAAAUGGGAGGUGUUUAUAAAGCCCUUUUGGUGCAUAUCUAUAAG
ensembl:lncRNA